UACGAAGGGGGCUAGCGUUGCUCGGAAUCACUGGGCGUAAAGGGCGCGUAGGCGGCCAUUCAAGUCGGGGUGAAAGCCUGUGGCUCAACCACAGAAUUGCCUUCGAUACUGUUUGGCUUGAGUAUGGUAGAGGUUGGUGGAACUGCGAGUGUAGAGGUGAAAUUCGUAGAUAUUCGCAAGAACACCGGUGGCGAAGGCGGCCAACUGGACCAUUACUGACGCUGAGGCGCGAAAGCGUGGGGAGCAAACAGG
rnacentral:rRNA from 1 species